rnacentral:tRNA from 1 species
GACUAAUUGGGUCAGAUGCAGAGCGUCUGUCUAGGAAGCAGAGGGUCGCUGGUUCGAUUCCAGCAUGAGGUA